UACGGGGGGAGCAAGGCGUUGUUCGGAUUUACUGGGCGUAAAGGGCGCGUAGGCGGUCAGCACAAGUCAGUUGUGAAAUCUCCGGGCUUAACUCGGAAAGGUCAACUGAUACUGUGCGACUAGAGUGCAGAAGGGGCAACUGGAAUUCGUCGGUGUAGCGGUGAAAUGCGCAGAUAUCAGGAGGAACACCGGUGGCGAAGGCGGCUUGCUGGGCCAGUUCUGACGCUGAGGAGCGAAAGCGUGGGGAGCGAACAGG
rnacentral:rRNA from 1 species